UGCCAGACUCCUACGGGAGGCAGCAGUGGGGAAUAUUGGGCAAUGGGCGCAAGCCUGACCCAGCGACGCCGCGUGAGGGAAGACGGUCUUCGGAUUGUAAACCUCUUUCAGCAGGGAAGACAAAAGGACGGUACCUGCAGAAGAAGCCACGGCUAACUACGUGCCAGCAGCCGCGGUAAUACGUAGGUGGCAAGCGUUAUCCGGAUUUAUUGGGUUUAAAGGGUGCGUAGGCGGUCCGGAAAGUCAGCGGUAAAAGCCCGGGGCUCACCCCCGGCGAGCCGUUGAAACUGUCGGACUAGAGACGGCGAGAAGUACGCGGAAUGCGCGGUGUAGCGGUGAAAUGCAUAGAUAUCGCGCAGAACUCCGAUUGCGAAGGCAGCGUACCGGCGCCGGACUGACGCUGAGGCACGAAAGCGUGGGUAUCGAACAGGAUUAGAUACCCCUGUAU
rnacentral:rRNA from 1 species